rnacentral:rRNA from 1 species
ACGUAGGGUGCGAGCGUUAAUCGGAAUUACUGGGCGUAAAGGGUGCGCAGGCGGCGCCAUAAGACAGCUGUGAAAUCCCCGGGCUUAACCUGGGAACUGCGGUUGUGACUGUGGUGCUUGAGUGCGGCAGAGGGGGGUGGAAUUCCACGUGUAGCAGUGAAAUGCGUAGAGAUGUGGAGGAACACCGAUGGCGAAGGCAGCCCCCUGGGUCGACACUGACGCUCAUGCACGAAAGCGUGGGGAGCAAACAG